GUCUCUUUGGCGCAAUGGUUAGCGCGUUAGACUGUUAAUUCUAAAGGUUGGUGGGUUCGAGCCCACCCAGGGACG